rnacentral:rRNA from 1 species
AACUAUAACGGUCCUAAGGUAGCGAAAUUCCUUGUCAGGUAAGUUCUGACCCGCACGAAAGGCGUAACGAUUUGGGCGCUGUCUCAGCUGUAGACUCGGUGAAGUCUUAGUACCUGUGAAGAUGCAGGUUACCCGCGACUAGACGGAAAGACCCCAUGGAGCUUCACUGCAGGUUGAUAUUGGGAUUUGAUGCAGCAUGUACAGGAUAGGUAGGAGGCAAAGAGAUGGAUACGCCAGUAUUCAAGGAGCCGCUGUUGGGAUACUACCCCUGUUGUAUUGGAUUUCUAACCGGACGACGUAGAGCCGUUGACGGGACAGUGUCAGUCGGGCAGUUUGACUGGGGCGGUCGCCUCCCAAAGAGUAACGGAGGCGCCCAAAGAUACCCUCAGCUUGGAUGGAAACCAAGCGCAGAGUGCAAAGGCAAAAGGGUGUUUGACUGCGAGACCCACAAGUCGAGCAGGGACGAAAGUCGGGCUUAGUGAUCCGGCGGUGCUGAAUGGAAAGGCCGUCGCUCAACGGAUAAAAGCUACCCUGGGGAUAACAGGCUGAUCUCCCCCAAGAGUCCACAUCGACGGGGAGGUUUGGCACCUCGAUGUCGGCUCAUCGCAUCCUGGGGCUGUAUUCGGUCCCAAGGGUUUGGCUGUUCGCCAAUUAAAGCGGUACGCGAGCUGGGUUCAGAACGUCGUGAGACAGUUCGGUCCCUAUCUGUCGUGGGCGUAGGAUAUUUGAAGAGCGCUGUCCCUAGUACGAGAGGACCGGGAUGGACGCACCGCUGGCGCAUCGGUUGUCAUGCCAAUGGCACGGCCGAGCAACUAUGUGCGGUUUGGAUAAACGCUGAAAGCAUCUAAGCGUGAAGCCAUCUCUAAGAUAAGAUAUCCCAUAGCAUAAGCUAGUAAGACCCCUCAAAGACUAUGAGGUUGAUAGGCUGCGUGUGUAAGUACGGCGACGUAUUUAGCUUGGCAGUACUAAUAGGUCGAGGGCUUGACCUU